GUCAGCCGCCCUCGCCGCCGCGGUGCGCUGGCUGCAGGAAGCCGCCGCGCCGCCGCUUUUGUUGUCAGGGACCCAGCGAGGAGCGCCGCUCGCCGGCCGCCGCCACCCUCUCUCGCUGCAGCCUGCUGUGCGCUGCACGGCCUGGGGCCCGGGAGCCCCGCCCGCUCUGCCCAUGAGGGGGCCCCGCGACCACCGCUGCUUCCAGCCCGGGGCGGCGCGGCGCUGAGGCGGCGGCGGCGGCGCUGCCCCCUCUGCGGGAAGCGGGCGGCCCCGGCCGCCUCCGCGAGGGCACCAUGGAGGUGAAUGCAGGAGGUGUGAUUGCCUAUAUCAGUUCUUCCAGCUCAGCCUCAAGCCCUGCCUCUUGUCACAGUGAGGGUUCUGAGAAUAGUUUCCAGUCCUCCUCCUCUUCUGUUCCAUCUUCUCCAAAUAGCUCUAAUUCUGAUACCAAUGGUAAUCCCAAGAAUGGUGAUCUCGCCAAUAUUGAAGGCAUCUUGAAGAAUGAUCGAAUAGAUUGUUCUAUGAAAACAAGCAAAUCGAGUGCACCUGGGAUGACAAAAAGUCAUAGUGGUGUGACAAAAUUUAGUGGCAUGGUUCUACUGUGUAAAGUCUGUGGGGAUGUGGCGUCAGGAUUCCACUAUGGAGUUCAUGCUUGCGAAGGCUGUAAGGGUUUCUUUCGGAGAAGUAUUCAACAAAACAUCCAGUACAAGAAGUGCCUGAAGAAUGAAAACUGUUCUAUAAUGAGAAUGAAUAGGAACAGAUGUCAGCAAUGUCGCUUCAAAAAGUGUCUGUCUGUUGGAAUGUCAAGAGAUGCUGUUCGGUUUGGUCGUAUUCCUAAGCGUGAAAAACAGAGGAUGCUAAUUGAAAUGCAAAGUGCAAUGAAGACCAUGAUGAACAGCCAGUUCAGUGGUCACUUGCAAAAUGACACAUUAGUAGAACAUCAUGAACAGACAGCCUUGCCAGCCCAGGAACAGCUGCGACCCAAGCCCCAACUGGAGCAAGAAAACAUCAAAAGCUCUUCUCCUCCAUCUUCUGAUUUUGCAAAGGAAGAAGUGAUUGGCAUGGUGACCAGAGCUCACAAGGAUACCUUUAUGUAUAAUCAAGAGCAGCAAGAAAACUCAGCUGAGAGCAUGCAGCCCCAGAGAGGAGAACGGAUUCCCAAGAACAUGGAGCAAUAUAAUUUAAAUCAUGAUCAUUGCGGCAAUGGGCUUAGCAGCCAUUUUCCCUGUAGUGAGAGCCAGCAGCAUCUCAAUGGACAGUUCAAAGGGAGGAAUAUAAUGCAUUACCCAAAUGGUCAUGCCAUUUGUAUUGCAAAUGGACAUUGUAUGAACUUCUCCAAUGCUUAUACUCAAAGAGUAUGUGAUAGAGUUCCGAUAGAUGGAUUUUCUCAGAAUGAGAACAAGAAUAGUUACCUGUGCAACACUGGAGGAAGAAUGCAUCUGUACAGUGUUCAUAUUCAGCCAAAAUUUCACCAAAAACAGCAGUACCACACCAUUUCCAGUUUAAACCAUGAAGUCCUUUGAUAGUGCUUGGUAUUUUCUACUGACAGGUUUGUCCAAUGAGUAAGUCUCCAUAUGUGGAUCCUCAUAAAUCAGGACAUGAAAUCUGGGAAGAAUUUUCGAUGAGCUUCACUCCAGCAGUGAAAGAAGUGGUGGAAUUUGCAAAGCGUAUUCCUGGGUUCAGAGAUCUCUCUCAGCAUGACCAGGUCAACCUUUUAAAGGCUGGGACUUUUGAGGUUUUAAUGGUACGGUUCGCAUCAUUAUUUGAUGCAAAGGAACGUACUGUCACCUUUUUAAGUGGAAAGAAAUAUAGUGUGGAUGAUUUACACUCAAUGGGAGCAGGGGAUCUGCUAAACUCUAUGUUUGAAUUUAGUGAGAAGCUAAAUGCCCUCCAACUUAGUGAUGAAGAGAUGAGUUUGUUUACAGCUGUUGUCCUGGUAUCUGCAGAUCGAUCUGGAAUAGAAAACGUCAACUCUGUGGAGGCUUUGCAGGAAACUCUCAUUCGUGCACUAAGGACCUUAAUAAUGAAAAACCAUCCAAAUGAGGCCUCUAUUUUUACAAAACUGCUUCUAAAGUUGCCAGAUCUUCGAUCUUUAAACAACAUGCACUCUGAGGAGCUCUUGGCCUUUAAAGUUCACCCUUAAGGCCUUUGUUUAUUUAAACAUGAACUGAUGGUAACUGUACAUUUUGUGCUAAAAUGCAUAUUUAUAUGUGUAUACCAUAUGUGGAGAUAGAAAAGACCUUUAAGACAAUAAAAGAUUGUAGGCUAUCUCUGUAAUCAUGCAAUAGCUGUUCGGAUUGAGAACUCUUCAGCCAUGAUUAGACGUUGACUGCAUCUCCCUGAUAGACCAAUCAGCUGUGUCGCACUUAAACUGGAGAAGUUACACUGAAGUAUAAUCACACUGAAUGUUAGACUUUUUCAUCUGCCAAAACCAAAAACCAUUUUGAUCUCCCUGUGGUUAUCAAUAUAACGCACAAUCACAAGUGUAUGAGGACUUAGAAAUUAAUCCUUUGUGGUAGGAGUUCUGUUGAAUGAUGGAAAUCUUAUUACUACCACAAGACUAUUUGAUCUGGUAAUUGGAGACUUCGGGAUUUAGGAGAUCUCCAUGUCUGUAUUUACUCUACCACUGCUAAAGUGUGUGGUCCUGGGUAGUUUACUUGCUUGCGGAAAAUGAGAAUUGAUGGUGUCCCCAAUGCCCCACCUCACAGAGUUACUAAAAAAUGUCUGUAAAGCAUAUUUACCUCUUGGGAGAUAGGCACUAUGUAAAUAAGGUAAAAUUUCUGUUAUUACAAUUAUUCAUAAUAAUAUUCUUUUCUUAUUUCUAAGCCUUUCUGGGAAAUCAUUUCAGUCCACACCAACCAUAUUAUUCAGGGUUCCUGCCAUAUGUGUGGGGUAUCCUACUGAUACACACGUAUUCAAAGUUUAUGGGUACAACAAAGACAUAGUACAUGUACAUAAUAUGUAUGUGAAUAUAGUUAAAUAUAUUUCUUCACAAUAUUUUAAACUGUGAAGAACUUUAUCAUACAGGAAACUUAAAACAAGAGGUGUCAAAAGACCCAAAUUAGGUGCAUUUUACUUGUUUAUGAUGGCAUAACCAUUGCUUUAAAAUGUUUAGACAGUAGAAUAUUGAAUUUAUGCUCUAUUUUUGUUUAUUUAAGCAACACUUAAUGUAAAAGUGCAACAGGCAAUUGAAUCCAAAUUUCAACGACAAAAAAAAAAAACAUGUAUUUUAGAGUUCAUCUUUGGCAAAAUCUUUGGUUCAGGGUACUAGUUGUUUAAAAGUUGAUUCAUAUUCUUACCUUGUGCUGAGAAAGGUUGCAUUGCUGCCCCUUAUACACAUGCUGCAGCUUGAUGUUAAAGAAUUUUUAUUCUUUCUGAAGAACUAAUUAAUGUUUAAAGCAACUGUUUAAUAUGAUGGCAUGUGUGUGUGUGCGUGCGUGUGUAUGUUCUGAGUCCACUUCUUUUUUCCUAAAUAACACUACAGGGAUUUUGUCAUAUUAGAUUUAAUUUAUAAUUUGAAAAAUCAUCUAGUGUGUGACCUACAGGCUUAGAAAUGGUAUAGUCAAAGACAUUUUAUCCACAUUUCUAAUAGUGGACUUGAUUAAGUAGAUAAGAUCAGCAUCUGUUUAUGGUAGUAGGAGAAAUAGCCAAAGUUGAGGAUUUUAUGUAUGUUUUCCUGUUUACCUGGAAAAUAGCAAUUAAUUGGAUUUUUUGGUAAAGAUUGCCUUCUGUAUAAUGUUUGGAUUAUAUAAAAUUGCAAAAAUGAUAACAGCCCGCUUUACUGUACUAAGCCUGUUACUUUCAUGACGUGUGAGCAGAAUGCCUUAUUUUGUAAUCUUGUUUAACUUGUUGCUACUGGGACUUGAUUUACUGUGGCACUAGUUAAGUAAGUUAAAAAAAAGUUAAACCCUCUCAUUAUUAAAGAGGAAAGGCGAUGGUGAUGUCUGUAGUACAAUAUAAACCAUAAUUGUGAUUUACCUUAAGUAGGUAUAACUCUUAUGGGAUAUACAGUAUAGUUUUUGUGAAUCUUUACAUGAUAGCAUUAUCUUUUUAUAAUUUUUUUUCCUAAGAUAAACAAAUGCAUAGUUUUCUUCUAUGGGUGAUAGAAACAGCUUUUUGAAGUAAUGAAAACCUCAAAAGAUCAUGUUGAUUCUUAAUUUUUGCCUUUUGCAUAAGCCUCUUUAUAACAUGUAUCUUUAAAACAAUUAAGUCUUUAGGAAUGUGUAACCAGAACUAUGUUAGUAUUGCUUAUAAAACUUUAGUUAGGUUCAAUAUAUACAUAUAUACAUCUCUAUAUAGGUAUAUAGAUUUGCAUUUUGUCUUGUAAAAUUUUAUUUGAAUAAAUUCUUCCUGUAGGUAAUGGGAAACAAAAUUAAUAGUUCAUAUGUCACUCAUAGCAUUUCUAUAUUUGAAAGUAGCCCAAUAUAAAACUUUUGAUUCUAAAAUUAAACCAGCAGCCUAUUACAAGCACAUUCUUUGAUUGAGUCAUUGGUUAUAAACUUACUAAAUGCAGAGAAAGCAGCCAAUUUAGGAAACUUCUGAGUUGGUGGGACACUGUUGAUUAAUAAUGUACUGUAUGAAUUAAGUGAUGCUUUAACUUUGAUUUUACAUUUUAAAGUUAAAAUGUGGGCAUUAUGUCAGCAAACUUAAGGGCAUUAUGUCAGCAAGCUAAAACAUUUUUUUUCCUGUGCUUUUAAUGUAUCUCUUUACAUGAUCUGAGAGAGGAUUCAAGUUGAUAGAAAUAGCUGAGGGGAAAAGGGGGAACAUCUUGGGAUGAAGCUUGUCCUUAUGGUGAUGGUUUAAUUACAGAUUAAAAAAUUAGAAGGAAAUUUCAGUGGAUUAAGUGUAUAGCUUUCAUAUCUACAUUUCAAGAAAUUACCAUUGUAACUUGAUAAGAGAUGAUUUAUUUUAUGUAAACAUCUUUGCAAAGCAAGGUGUAGCAGCUCAGCUAGAUUUAUUACUGUGCACGAAAGUAAAUACCUAUCUCAAUUAUUCUUUUUCUUUUCCAAUAUAAAGUUUGCUGAAUGUACAAGAAGAGUUUAUCACUUAGGAUAUAGAAUUUUUUUAGGGGUUGGGGGAGGGGAUCUGUUAGGAAACUGUUACCUAUAAACAAAGAUUGACUGGAUUCGAUCCAAAAGAUAAAACUUGAAGCUAUUCUGGAACUAACAUGGAAAAAUGAAAUGGCUAUUGUUUAAAAAAAUGAUAGAAAUACAUUGUUGAUGGGAUAUGAGUUAAGUUUAUUUUCUACAAACUGUAAUUGAUGAGGACAUGGAUAAUAUCUUCAUGUUUCUGAGAAGUAAUCUGUAUGUGGGGGGAGGGGAUAAUAAAUAUUUCUAACCAA